GAUAAACGCUGGCGGCGCACAUAAGACAUGCAAGUCGAACGGACUUAACUCAUUCUUUUAGAUUGAGAGCGGUUAGUGGCGGACUGGUGAGUAACACGUAAGCAACCUGCCUAUUAGAGGGGAAUAACAGUGAGAAAUAGCUGCUAAUACCGCAUAAGCGCACAGUACCGCAUGGUACAGUGUGAAAAACUCCGGUGGUGUAAGAUGGGCCCGCGUUGGAUUAGCUAGUUGGAGGGGUAACGGCCCACCAAGGCGACGAUCCAUAGCCGACCUGAGAGGGUGACCGGCCACAUUGGGACUGAGACACGGCCCAG
rnacentral:rRNA from 1 species